GGUUGAUCCUGCCAGUAGUCAUAUGCUUGUUUCACGGAUUAAGCCAUGCAAGUCUAAGUAUAAGUAAAACAAAUUGCGAAACUGCGAACGGCUCAUUAGAACAGUUGUGACCUACACGAUGGUUUAUCUACACGGAUACCGUUGGUAAUUCUGACUGCAAUACGUGAUAUAGUAUCUUUCCGAAAAGGAAGAGGCUCUUGCUAUAAAUUAGUCAAGGAUUAGAUUGGUUUCGAGCGAGUUUGCCGACCGUGCUCAAGUGCGGUUCGUCGUUCGGGCUUCUGACCCAUCAGCU
rnacentral:rRNA from 1 species